rnacentral:rRNA from 1 species
AUUGAACGCUGGCGGCAGGCCUAACACAUGCAAGUCGAACGGUAACAGGAAGAAGCUUGCUUCUUUGCUGACGAGUGGCGGACGGGUGAGUAAUGUCUGGGAAACUGCCUGAUGGAGGGGGAUAACUACUGGAAACGGUAGCUAAUACCGCAUAAUGUCGCAAGACCAAAGAGGGGGACCUUCGGGCCUCUUGCCGUCGGAUGUGCCCAGAUGGGAUUAGCUAGUAGGUGGGGUAACGGCUCACCUAGGCGACGAUCCCUAGCUGGUCUGAGAGGAUGACCAGCCACACUGGAACUGAGACACGGUCCAGACUCCUACGGGAGGCAGCAGUGGGGAAUAUUGCACAAUGGGCGCAAGCCUGAUGCAGCUAUGCCGCGUGUAUGAAGAAGGCCUUCGGGUUGUAAAGUACUUUCAGCGGGGAGGAAGGGAGUAAAGUUAAUACCUUUGCUCAUUGACGUUACCCGCAGAAGAAGCACCGGCUAACUCCGUG